CAGCAGCCGCGGUAAUACGUAGGUGGCAAGCGUUGUCCGGAAUUAUUGGGCGUAAAGGGCUCGCAGGCGGUUUCUUAAGUCUGAUGUGAAAGCCCCCGGCUCAACCAGGGAGGGUCAUUGGAAACUGGGAAACUUGAGUGCAGAAGAGGAGAGUGGAAUUCCACGUGUAGCGGUGAAAUGCGUAGAGAUGUGGAGGAACACCAGUGGCGAAGGCGACUCUCUGGUCUGUAACUGACGCUGAGGAGCGAAAGCGUGGGGAGCGAACAGGAUUAGAUACCCCCGUAGUCCCUGUCUCUUAUAC
rnacentral:rRNA from 1 species